UGAUAACCGUCCAUGUUUCUGAGAGGAAUGGGGAGAGGCCAUCACACCAAAGGGCGGGCGUUUGUAAUCGCCUGAUGGUGGGCGGUUACAACCGUCCACGUUCCCCAGCAAUCGAAGGCUACAAGAAGCUCCGAUCGAUGAGGCUUUUCACCACCCUCCUUCCUCUGUUUCUUCUCCAUUCUCCUUUUCUCACAACUCUCCUCGGUGGACAGGAUCUGGCAUUAGGCUUGCGUCGCCGGAACAAAGGGCUGCGUUGCCGGAGUAGGAGGCGGACGUUCUUCUUCAAAGCAGGUGAUCAAAGAUUCAUUAUCCGGACGUAAGAAAUUGGAAAGCAAAUUGCUAUGAUUAAGACCAUUAGGAGCAGGGAGCUUGAUGUUAUUCAGGGUUGGGGUAAUUGAAAAUGUUAUGUAAUAAUCAGAUUUUAGAAGCUCUGUACUGUUCCAACUUCUUCACUAAUGUUAUGACAUUAGUAAAUAAAACUAUUUAUUUUUAUUAUGAAA